CCUACGGGGGGCAGCAGUGGGGAAUAUUGGACAAUGGGGGCAACCCUGAUCCAGCCAUGCCGCGUGUGUGAAGAAGGCCCUCGGGAUGUAAAGCACUUUCAGUGAGGAAGAACGCCUGGUGGUUAAUACCCAUCAGGAAAGACAUCACUCACAGAAGAAGCACCGGCUAACUCCGUGCCAGCAGCCGCGGUAAUACGGAGGGUGCGAGCGUUAAUCGGAAUUACUGGGCGUAAAGCGCGCGUAGGUGGCUUGAUAAGCCGGUUGUGAAAGCCCCGGGCUCAACCUGGGAACGGCAUCCGGAACUGUCAAGCUAGAGUGCAGGAGAGGAAGGUAGAAUUCCCGGUGUAGCGGUGAAAUGCGUAGAGAUCGGGAGGAAUACCAGUGGCGAAGGCGGCCUUCUGGACUGACACUGACACUGAGGUGCGAAAGCGUGGGUAGCAAACAGGAUUAGAUACCCGAGUAGUC
rnacentral:rRNA from 1 species